rnacentral:lncRNA from 1 species
GGGUGAAUUUUUUUAAAAAAUUUUAUUUAAGAGUGAUUGUGUCAAUUCAUUAUCAUUCCCACUUCUGGAUUGAAAUUCUCAUUCCUUACUCUGACAUUUGUGAAGCCACCCAAAAUCCAUUCUCAUACUUUCAUAUUUUUAGUGCGUAAACACUAUCAAGCAAUGAGUUCAUUACCAUUCCCCAAUUCAAAAACUAUACACAGCACCAUUAAAUAAGACUUAGGUGGCGUUUGUUUUUUAACUUAAUGACUUAAAGUGACUUAACUUAAUUAAUUAAGUUAAUUAGAGGUGUUUGUUUUUAUAACUUAAUGAGACUUUUUAGAUAAUUUUGACUUAAUAAAAUAAGCUAAUUUUUUUGGCUUUUUACUUAAUGGAGAAAUCUGAAUUAAGUCAAUUACUUGCUAAUGUCAAAAAUAUCCAUGUUUUAUAAUUUAUUUUUCAUGUCUAUCCAAAAACUCACCUAUAGAUAUUUACCCCACAUAAAAAUAUCCCUGUUUUUUCUUUCUUAUAUUAUAUAUGAUAAAAUUUGAAAUUUAUGGUAUUUUAUAUAUUAAAAUUCUAAAAUAAUUAUGUAUUCAUUUGAAUAUAGUUUUACUUAUAAAUGUUAAAAUAUUGUGGUAUUUAAUAUAUUAUUUAUUUGACAUUCAAAUUUAAUAAGGAUACAAAUGUAAAAGUACAUAUUUUCAGCUUUUUAAGUUGAAAAAAACAAACAACUUAAUACUUAUUUUUCGAGAUUCAGACGAAAAAACAAACAUAUUAUUCAGAUUCAGACAUUCAGACCUAUUCAGAAUUCAGACUAAUUCAGGUCUAUUCAGAUUUCAGACAAAAAAACAAACGCCACCUUAGCUUAGGACCACAAAUGUAAGAAAUUGCAACCAUUAAGUCUGUUCUUGCAUCAUGCUCAGUGAUUCUACCCAUCACUCCACGAAAUAAGAUGGGCACUACCUUUCGACUAAUUUAAAACCAACAACAACAACAAUAAUAAUAAAUAAAUA